UCCAGUUACGAAGCUUCUCAUCCAGGAUGUUGAUGAGAAGUUGUGUCAUCUAGGAUCCGAAAGGGUCUUCUCCAAAAUGCAAAGGAAGUAUUUGGUGUUGAGGGUAAGGCAAGCUAUUCGACAGUACCAACAUGGAUGCUUCGAAUGCCAGCUAUGGCGGGCCAAGGUCAAGACCCCUAAAGAUUUGCAGAUUUGCCACCUGCUCAACUCCGCCUUCACAAGUAGAUACACAGUCUCCUCCUAAACUCCUAAAUCCUGAUCCAGCCACCUACCUCAUCCUUCAAACAGUCUUUCACAAUGCCAGAUCUGCCACCUACUGACCCAGAUCUGAAUAGUUGUGUAUAUGGGAUAAAUAAUUCAUGAUACAGCAUUUUGAAACAAAACAUGAUAAAGUCCUGUGGGGUGAAUACACACGUGAAAAAUAAUACAACAAAAUAAGCAAUGUACUUGUAGUGGUAUGAGGCACCACUGCCAUAUUAAACUUGGUUUGGCUGCACCACAGCCUCUCUGGCUUUUUAGCCAAUCACUGCUCUUACCAAGGGGAUAAAAGUAGGCCAUGUCCCUCCUCCUGACCUCUCGCUUCCUGCCUCUUCGACCUGACCACUUCCGGGUCGUUGUCUUUGCCGCUAGCAUCCGAGCACAGAUCUGGCGUCUCCGCCAUGAGCUGAUCAUUUGGUGUUGUUUACCGCUGCCGACCAGAGUAUUGUGCUGAAGGCCAACAGUGGUGGUGGCGGUGGGGAAAGGACUAAUUCCCCACCCGGAGUAGGCAAUCCACCGGUUUCCUACUGAGAAGGAAACAUAACCUGUAUUAAUUAAAAGAAAAAAAUAAGCUUUUGAUUUGGACAACUGACACAUUAGCCUUUGUCUUAUUCAAAAUACUUGUCAUUAAUGAUGCCAUAUAUGUAAAAAAACAAAACUGUGGAUGAUAUGACUCUGGGCUCAAUUGUCUGUUUUGUAGCCUAUAAAGCUGAGGAUCUUGAAAAACAAUGGAAGGCAGGAAUAACAUUGCUCAGUGGACAACAUUUUCUUUAAAGUCAUUGUUUAUAUUCAUGAGUAAACAUCUCAUAUUACAGGCUUAUACAUUUUAUUGAGUACUAUACAGUAUAUAGCAGGGGUCACCAACACGGUACCCGUGGGCACCAAGUAGCCCCCAAGGACCACAUGAGUAGCCCUCAGGCCUGUUCUAAAAAUGAAAAUUGAAUAUUGAUAUUAUCUGUUUCCCACCUUGUUAAGUCAUUGUUGAUAAUUAUUGUGAGAAAUUAUUCAUGUGAUCAGUGUCUUCACAUAGAUGAGUAUCAUUAAUCAUUGAUAAUCGUAUAUAAUGUAAGGCAAACUGAGCAAAUUUUUUAUUUUAGAAGAAUGUAUCAAACUGGUAGCCCUUCGAAUGACUCAGUACCCAUGAAGUAGCUGUCAGUUUCAAAAAGGUUGGUGACCCCUGGUAUAUACAGUACUUUGCUGCUAUUUUUUUUCUUUCAAUUUGUUUUUCAGUUGUAUUAUUCUGUAUUUUUAUUCUUAACCACCAUAAAUUUCAUGUUUGGUUCUAUGUCUAUGCUAAUUAUUAAUUCUUGUGCUGCUGGAACACCAAAAUACCA